AUAUGCUUGUCUCAAAGACUAAGCCAUGCAUGUCUAAGUAUAAAUGCUUCUAUACUGUGAAACUGCGAAUGGCUCAUUAAAUCAGUUAUAGUUUAUUUGAUGGUUCCUUACUACUUGGAUAACCGUAGUAAUUCUAGAGCUAAUACAUGCACAAAGUCCCGACUUCUGGAAGGGAUGUAUUUAUUAGAUCCAAAACCAGCGCGAGUCCUCCGGGGCUCGGUUGCUUGGUGAUUCAUGAUAACUUCUCGAACCGUAUGGCCCUCGUGCUGACGGUGCUUCAUUCAAAUUUCUGCCCUAUCAACUUUCGAUGGUACGGUAGUGGCCUACCAUGGUUGCAACGGGUGACGGAGAAUUAGGGUUCGAUUCCGGAGAGGGAGCCUGAGAAACGGCUACCACAUCCAAGGAAGGCAGCAGGCGCGCAAAUUACCCAAUCCCGACUCGGGGAGGUAGUGACAAUAAAUAACAAUGCCGGGCUAUCGUAGUCUGGCAAUUGGAAUGAGUACAAUCUAAACCCCUUAACGAGGAACAAUUGGAGGGCAAGUCUGGUGCCAGCAGCCGCGGUA
rnacentral:rRNA from 1 species